UGAACGCUGGCGGCGUGCCUAAUACAUGCAAGUCGAGCGAACGGACGAGAAGCUUGCUUCUCUGAUGUUAGCGGCGGACGGGUGAGUAACACGUGGAUAACCUACCUAUAAGACUGGGAUAACUUCGGGAAACCGGAGCUAAUACCGGAUAAUAUUUUGAACCGCAUGGUUCAAAAGUGAAAGACGGUCUUGCUGUCACUUAUAGAUGGAUCCGCGCUGCAUUAGCUAGUUGGUAAGGUAACGGCUUACCAAGGCAACGAUGCAUAGCCGACCUGAGAGGGUGAUCGGCCACACUGGAACUGAGACACGGUCCAGACUCCUACGGGAGGCAGCAGUAGGGAAUCUUCCGCAAUGGGCGAAAGCCUGACGGAGCAACGCCGCGUGAGUGAUGAAGGUCUUCGGAUCGUAAAACUCUGUUAUUAGGGAAGAACAUAUGUGUAAGUAACUGUGCACAUCUUGACGGUACCUAAUCAGAAAGCCACGGCUAACUACGUGCCAGCAGCCGCGGUAAUACGUAGGUGGCAAGCGUUAUCCGGAAUUAUUGGGCGUAAAGCGCGCGUAGGCGGUUUUUUAAGUCUGAUGUGAAAGCCCACGGCUCAACCGUGGAGGGUCAUUGGAAACUGGAAAACUUGAGUGCAGAAGAGGAAAGUGGAAUUCCAUGUGUAGCGGUGAAAUGCGCAGAGAUAUGGAGGAACACCAGCGGCGAAGGCGACUUUCUGGUCUGUAACUGACACUGAUGUGCGAAAGCGUGGGGAUCAAACAGGAUUAGAUACCCUGGUAGUCCACGCCGUAAACGAUGAGUGCUAAGUGUUAGGGGGUUUCCGCCCCUUAGUGCUGCAGCUAACGCAUUAAGCACUCCGCCUGGGGAGUACGACCGCAAGGUUGAAACUCAAAGGAAUUGACGGGGACCCGCACAAGCGGUGGAGCAUGUGGUUUAAUUCGAAGCAACGCGAAGAACCUUACCAAAUCUUGACAUCCUUUGACAACUCUAGAGAUAGAGCCUUCCCCUUCGGGGGACAAAGUGACAGGUGGUGCAUGGUUGUCGUCAGCUCGUGUCGUGAGAUGUUGGGUUAAGUCCCGCAACGAGCGCAACCCUUAAGCUUAGUUGCCAUCAUUAAGUUGGGCACUCUAAGUUGACUGCCGGUGACAAACCGGAGGAAGGUGGGGAUGACGUCAAAUCAUCAUGCCCCUUAUGAUUUGGGCUACACACGUGCUACAAUGGACAAUACAAAGGGCAGCGAAACCGCGAGGUCAAGCAAAUCCCAUAAAGUUGUUCUCAGUUCGGAUUGUAGUCUGCAACUCGACUACAUGAAGCUGGAAUCGCUAGUAAUCGUAGAUCAGCAUGCUACGGUGAAUACGUUCCCGGGUCU
rnacentral:rRNA from 1 species